CAACAGGUGACUGAAAUGAAAGUAAUGGUCUCUUAAACCAUGUUAUAGUAGAACGCCUACUCCUGCUGG
rnacentral:tRNA from 1 species